CAAGCCCUGGAAACGGGGUCUAAUACCGGAUGUUCACUUUCGGGCGCAUGCCUGGGGGUGGAAAGCUCUGGCGGUGCAGGAUGGGCCCGCGGCCUAUCAGCUUGUUGGUGGGGUGAUGGCCUACCAAGGCGACGACGGGUAGCCGGCCUGAGAGGGCGACCGGCCACACUGGGACUGAGACACGGCCCAGACUCCUACGGGAGGCAGCAGUGGGGAAUAUUGCACAAUGGGCGCAAGCCUGAUGCAGCGACGCCGCGUGAGGGAUGACGGCCUUCGGGUUGUAAACCUCUUUCAGCAGGGAAGAAGCUCCUUGGGGUGACGGUACCUGCAGAAGAAGCGCCGGCUAACUACGUGCCAGCAGCCGCGGUAAUACGUAGGGCGCAAGCGUUGUCCGGAAUUAUUGGGCGUAAAGAGCUCGUAGGCGGCUUGUCGCGUCGGAUGUGAAAGCCCGGGGCUUAACCCCGGGUCUGCAUUCGAUACGGGCAGGCUGGAGUUCGGUAGGGGAGAUCGGAAUUCCUGGU
rnacentral:rRNA from 1 species